UGCGUAGGCGGCCGCGUAAGUCUGGCGUGAAAGCCCCGGGCUCAGCCCGGGAAGUGCGCUCGAAACUGCGCAGCUAGAGUGCCGGAGGGGAGAGUGGAAUUCCUGGUGUAGCGGUGAAAUGCGUAGAUAUCAGGAGGAAUACCGGUGGCGAAAGCGACUCUCUGGACGGCAACUGACGCUGAGGCACGAAAGCGUGGGGAGCAAACA
rnacentral:rRNA from 1 species